UCGAGCGGAUGAGAGGAGCUUGCUCCUUGAUUUAGCGGCGGACGGGUGAGUAAUGCCUAGGAAUCUGCCUGGUAGUGGGGGAUAACGUCCGGAAACGGGCGCUAAUACCGCAUACGUCCUACGGGAGAAAGCAGGGGACCUUCGGGCCUUGCGCUAUCAGAUGAGCCUAGGUCGGAUUAGCUAGUUGGUGAGGUAAUGGCUCACCAAGGCGACGAUCCGUAACUGGUCUGAGAGGAUGAUCAGUCACACUGGAACUGAGACACGGUCCAGACUCCUACGGGAGGCAGCAGUGGGGAAUAUUGGACAAUGGGCGAAAGCCUGAUCCAGCCAUGCCGCGUGUGUGAAGAAGGUCUUCGGAUUGUAAAGCACUUUAAGUUGGGAGGAAGGGCAGUAAGUUAAUACCUUGCUGUUUUGACGUUACCGACAGAAUAAGCACCGGCUAACUUCGUGCCAGCAGCCGCGGUAAUACGAAGGGUGCAAGCGUUAAUCGGAAUUACUGGGCGUAAAGCGCGCGUAGGUGGUUCGUUAAGUUGGAUGUGAAAGCCCCGGGCUCAACCUGGGAACUGCAUCCAAAACUGGCGAGCUAGAGUACGGUAGAGGGUGGUGGAAUUUCCUGUGUAGCGGUGAAAUGCGUAGAUAUAGGAAGGAACACCAGUGGC
rnacentral:rRNA from 1 species